rnacentral:snRNA from 1 species
GGAAUAACAGGAGGUGAGGUCGCCCCACUGAUUGCCAGGGUUGACUUGGCUGAUCUGGCUGGCUAGGCGGGUCGUCGCCCUUCCUCCCUCACCCACUUCCAGGUGCGUCCCUCCCGAAGCUGCACACUUGGUCGAAGAGGACGACCAUCCCUGAUAGAGGAGGACUGGUCUUCGGUCAAGGGUGUACAAGUAGCUGCGCUCCCCUGCUAGAACCUCCAAACACGCGCUCAAGGUCCAUUUAAAGGAAUAACAAUGACAUCGAUUCUCCCUUCUAUUUCAUCUGUCCUUUUCCAGCAAGAAGAAAAGAGAC